rnacentral:rRNA from 1 species
AUUGAACGCUGGCGGCAGGCCUAACACAUGCAAGUCGAACGAGUGGCGGACGGGUGAGUAAUGUCUGGGAAACUGCCUGAUGGAGGGGGAUAACUACUGGAAACGGUCGAUAAAACCGCAUACCAUCGGUUGAGCCCAGAUGGGAUUAGCUAGUGGGUGGGGUAAAGGCUCACCUAGGCGACGAUCCCUAGCUGGUCUGAGAGGAUGACCAGCCACACUGGAACUGAGACACGGUCCAGACUCCAACGGGAGGAAGCAGUGGGGAAGAUUGCACAAUGGGCGCAAGCCUGAUGCAGCCAUGCCGCGUGUAUGAAGAAGGCCUUCGGGUUGUAAAGUACUUUCAGCGGGGAGGCGUUACCCGCAGAGGAAGCACCGGCUAACUCCGUGCCAGCAGCCGCGGUAAUAC